rnacentral:ncRNA from 1 species
CUACUAUCUAUGAAGGAUCGAGUACUUUGAUUUUGCCCUUAAAAGAGAGAACUGCCAUGGCUGAAAGCAGUGAAGGACCGACCAAAGGAAAGACAAUCUGGAGAUGAACAGAGGUAAAGCUGUUCCGUGACCGAGCGUUAAUCGUGCUGAGGAGAAAGCAAUUUCUCGAAUUUUAGGUGGUACCGCGUGUGAUAACUCGCCCUUGUG